rnacentral:tRNA from 1 species
UAGAUUAAAGCCAGUUGAUUAGGGUAUUUAGCUGUUAACUAAAUUUUUGUGGGUUUAAAUCCCAUUAAUCUAG